CGGAGGGUGCAAGCGUUAUCCGGAUUCGCUGGGUUUAAAGGGUGCGUAGGUGGGUAAGUAAGUCAGUGGUGAAAUCUCCGGGCUUAACCCGGAAACUGCCAUUGAUACUAUUUGUCUUGAAUACUGUGGAGGUCAGCGGAAUAUGUCAUGUAGCGGUGAAAUGCUUAGAUAUGACAUAGAACACCAAUUGCGAAGGCAGCUGGCUACACAAAUAUUGACACUGAGGCACGAAAGCGUGGGGAUCAAACAGGAUUAGAUACCCUGGUAGUCCACGCCCUAAACUAUGGAUACUCGACAUUUGCGAUAAACUGCAAGUGUCUGAGCGAAAGCAUUAAGUAUCCCACCUGGGAAGUACGAUCGCAAGAUUG
rnacentral:rRNA from 1 species